rnacentral:tRNA from 1 species
AGUCCGUUUUGACAGAGCAGCAAAAUGCCCGGCAGCAGUCGCAAGCAACGGACUCUUGAUCCGUUGGUCGAUGGUUCAAGCCCAUCACGGCCUACCA